rfam:Pseudogymnoascus sp. 23342-1-I1 unplaced genomic scaffold scaffold_5, whole genome shotgun sequence.
GGCCGGGUGGUGUAGUUGGUUAUCACGUUUCGUUAACACCGAAAAGGUCCUGGGAUCGAACCCCAGCCUGGUCA